rnacentral:rRNA from 1 species
AUUGAGCGCUGGCGGCAGGCCUAACACAUGCAAGUCGAACGCCGUAGCAAUACGGAGUGGCAGACGGGUGAGUAACACGUGGGAACAUGCCCUUUGGUUCGGAAUAACUCAGGGAAACUUGAGCUAAUACCGGAUAAGCCCGAGAGGGGAAAGAUUUAUCGCCGAAGGAUUGGCCCGCGUCCGAUUAGCUAGUUGGUGAGGUAAUGGCUCACCAAGGCGACGAUCGGUAGCUGGUCUGAGAGGAUGAUCAGCCACACUGGGACUGAGACACGGCCCAGACUCCUACGGGAGGCAGCAGUGGGGAAUAUUGGACAAUGGGCGCAAGCCUGAUCCAGCCAUGCCGCGUGAGUGAUGAAGGCCCUAGGGUUGUAAAGCUCUUUCGCCAGGGACGAUAAUGACGGUACCUGGAUAAGAAGCCCCGGCUAACUUCGUGCCAGCAGCCGCCGUAAGAC